AUUUUCUUGUACCACACAUCAUUUGGGUCUGCAUUUUUGCAAAAAGUAACUUUAGAAUCAUCUCGUCUGCCAGGACAAUAUUCAGCAUUUACUCUCUUUUGCCAUAUGGCCAUUUCACCCUUCUCAUACUUCUUGUCCCAGCAAAGAAGCUUAGCAACCUCUUCAAUCUUUCUCUGUUCCUUCCGGAGUUCCUCCUUGGGACGCUGCCAUGCUUUGUAAUUAUUUUUCCAAUUGAUUGGAGGUCCAGAAAGCAC
rnacentral:misc_RNA from 1 species